rnacentral:rRNA from 1 species
AUUUUAAAUAAAAAGUCUGCGCCUGAUCUCGGAAGCUAAGCAGGGUCAGGCCUGGUUAGUACUUGGAUGGGAGACCGCCUGGGAAUACCAGGUGCUUUAAGCUU